rnacentral:rRNA from 1 species
UACGAAGGGGGCUAGCGUUGUUCGGAAUUACUGGGCGUAAAGCGCACGUAGGCGGCUUUGUAAGUUAGAGGUGAAAGCCCGGAGCUCAACUCCGGAAUUGCCUUUAAGACUGCAUCGCUCGAAUCAUGGAGAGGUGAGUGGAAUUCCGAGUGUAGAGGUGAAAUUCGUAGAUAUUCGGAAGAACACCAGUGGCGAAGGCGACUCACUGGACAUGUAUUGACGCUGAGGUGCGAAAGCGUGGGGAGCAAACAGG